UACGUAGGCAGCGAGCGUUGUUCGGAGUUACUGGGCGUAAAGAGUGCGUAGGCGGUUUUCUAAGUUUGGUGUGAAAUCUCCCGGCUCAACUGGGAGGGUGCGCCGAAGACUGGAAGGCUUGAGUAUGGGAGAGGUAAGCGGAAUUCCAGGUGUAGCGGUGAAAUGCGUAGAUAUCUGGAGGAACACCGGUGGCGAAGGCGGCAUCCUGGACCGGUAUUGACGCUCAUGCACGAAAGCGUGGGGAGCAAACAGG
rnacentral:rRNA from 1 species